UACGUAGGUGGCAAGCGUUGUCCGGAAUUACUGGGUGUAAAGCGCGUGUAGGCGGGCGGCCAAGUCUGUGGUGAAAUCGCCUGGCUUAACUGGGCGGGGUCCAUGGAAACUGGCCACCUGGAGGUCGGUAGAGGCAAGUGGAAUUCCCGGUGUAGUGGUGAAAUGCGUAGAGAUCGGGAGGAACACCAGUGGCGAAGGCGGCUUGCUGGGCAGGAACUGACGCUGAGACGCGAAGGCGUGGGGAGCGAACGGG
rnacentral:rRNA from 1 species